UACGUAGGGUGCAAGCGUUGUCCGGAAUUAUUGGGCGUAAAGAGCUCGUAGGCGGCUCGUGAAGUCGGGUGUGAAAGCCCGGGGCUCAACCCCGGAACGGCAUCCGAUACUGGCGGGCUUGAGACCGGGAGAGGAGGGUGGAAUACCCAGUGUAGAGGUGAAAUUCGUAGAUAUUGGGUGGAACACCGGUGGCGAAAGCGGCUCUCUGGCCCGGAUCUGACGCUGAGGCGCGAAAGCGUGGGGAGCAAACAGG
rnacentral:rRNA from 1 species